AAGACUUACAGGUCUUGAAUCCUUUGACCACUCUAGAGAAGAGCUUUCCCUUCGGGACAAAGUGACAGGUGGUGCAUGGUGUCGUCAGCUCGUGUCGCGAGAUGUUGGGUAAGCCCGCAACGAGCGCAACCCUUAUUGUUAGUUGCCAUCAUUUAGUUGGCACUCUAGCGAGACUGCCGGUGACAAACCGGAGAAAGGGGGGAUGACGUCAAAUCAUCAUGCCCCUUAUGACCUGGGCUACACACGUGCUACAAUGA
rnacentral:rRNA from 1 species